AUACGGAGGGGGCUAGCGUUGUUCGGAAUUACUGGGCGUAAAGCGCGCGUAGGCGGCCUGUCAAGUUGGAUGUGAAAGCCCGGGGCUCAACCCCGGAAUUGCAUUCAAAACUGGCAAGCUAGAGACCGAGAGAGGUGAGUGGAAUUUCCAGUGUAGAGGUGAAAUUCGUAGAUAUUGGAAAGAACACCAGUGGCGAAGGCGGCUCACUGGCUCGGUACUGACGCUGAGGUGCGAAAGCGUGGGGAGCAAACAGGAUUAGAUACCCCGGUAGUCC
rnacentral:rRNA from 1 species